GGGGCUGCUCCGGAUGUUAGCGGCGGACGGGUGAGUAACACGUGGGUAACCUGCCUGUAAGACUGGGAUAACUCCGGGAAACCGGAGCUAAUACCGGAUAGUUCCUUGAACCGCAUGGUUCAAGGAUGAAAGACGGUUUCGGCUGUCACUUACAGAUGGACCCGCGGCGCAUUAGCUAGUUGGUGGGGUAAUGGCUCACCAAGGCGACGAUGCGUAGCCGACCUGAGAGGGUGAUCGGCCACACUGGGACUGAGACACGGCCCAGACUCCUACGGGAGGCAGCAGUAGGGAAUCUUCCGCAAUGGACGAAAGUCUGACGGAGCAACGCCGCGUGAGUGAUGAAGGUUUUCGGAUCGUAAAGCUCUGUUGUUAGGGAAGAACAAGUGCGAGAGUAACUGCUCGCACCUUGACGGUACCUAACCAGAAAGCCACGGCUAACUACGUGCCAGCAGCCCGCGGGUAAUACGUAGGUGGGCAAGCGUUGUCCGGAAUUAUUGGGCGUAAAGGGCUCGCAGGCGGGUUCUUAAGUCUGAUGUGAAAGCCCCCGGCUCAACCGGGGAGGGUCAUUGGAAACUGGGAAACUUGAGUGCAGAAGAGGAGAGUGGAAUUCCACGUGUAGCGGUGAAAUGCGUAGAGAUGUGGAGGAACACCAGUGGCGAAGGCGACUCUCUGGUCUGUAACUGACGCUGAGGAGCGAAAGCGUGGGGAGCGAACAGGAUUAGAUACCCUGGUAGUCCACGCCGUAAACGAUGAGUGCUAAGUGUUAUGGGGGUUUCCGCCCCUUAGUGCUGCAGCUAACGCAUUAAGCACUCCGCCUGGGGAGUACGGUCGCAAGACUGAAACUCAAAGGAAUUGACGGGGGCCCGCACAAGCGGUGGAGCAUGUGGUUUAAUUCGAAGCAACGCGAAGAACCUUACCAGGUCUUGACAUCCUCUGACAACCCUAGAGAUAGGGCUUUCCCUUCGGGGACAGAGUGACAGGUGGUGCAUGGUUGUCGUCAGCUCGUGUCGUGAGAUGUUGGGUUAAGUCCCGCAACGAGCGCAACCCUUGAUCUUAGUUGCCAGCAUUCAGUUGGGCACUCUAAGGUGACUGCCGGUGACAAACCGGAGGAAGGUGGGGAUGACGUCAAAUCAUCAUGCCCCUUAUGACCUGGGCUACACACGUGCUACAAUGGACAGAACAAAGGGCUGCAAGACCGCAAGGUUUAGCCAAUCCCAUAAAUCUGUUCUCAGUUCGGAUCGCAGUCUGCAACUCGACUGCGUGAAGCUGGAAUCGCUAGUAAUCGCGGAUCAGGAUGGG
rnacentral:rRNA from 1 species